CCCUAGCCCAGAUUGAAGUGGAAAGGACAAAGCCUCAAAAGGGAUUUUUUUGUUGCUACAAAAGAGCGACCACCGGAAGCUCCUUUUGUAGCAUACAAAAAACCCUUUUGAGGCUUUGGACUUGAAACGAAAAGCUGGAAUAGCU
rnacentral:sRNA from 1 species